UUUUAAUUAAAUUAAUUUAUCUUAAAAUAUUAAUUUUGGAAAUUAAAAAAAAAUUAAUUUUAUUAUUAUUAAGAU
rnacentral:tRNA from 1 species